rnacentral:sRNA from 1 species
AGACCUUUUGGAAGCUCACUGGCUUCGGGUUCCAUUGGAACUCUGAAGUUAAGCGAGUAGCGCGCGAGAGCAAUCCCAUGAUGGGUGACCCACUGGGAAGUUCUCGUGUGAGUUCCAAAAAACAAAACUAUGAGGGCGUACUUGAGGCUCAAAACGGACAAUAUCGUGCUACGGUGGUGGAGCGGGCCCGAGAAGUGGUCUCGUCCUGGCCGAGAUGUGACAAUUUGGUAUCAUAGCCUAACCCUGGCCGUGGUGUGCCGACGAGGACGUCGGGCCCCUAAGGGGGGUGGAUUGUAACAUCCCACUUCGCCUAGGGGAAUGAUCCUUAAAUGUAUAUUCUCAUCCUUACUUAGCAUGAGGCAUUUUGGGAGCUCACUGGCUUCGGGUUCCAUUAAAACUCCGAAGUUAAGCGAGUAGCGCGAGAGAGCAAUCUCAUGAUGGGUGACCCACUGGGAAGUUCUCGUGUAAGUUCCCAAAAACAAAACCAUGAGGACACAGUUAGGGCCCAAAAUGGACAAUAUCGUGCUACAGUGGUGGAGCGGGCUCGGGAAGUGGUCCCGCCGCCUCAUGCUAUGUAGGGAUGAGAAUAUACAUUUAAGGAUUACUCACAUGGGCGAUGUGGGAUGUGACAAUUUGGUAUCAGAGCCUAACCCUGGCCAUGGUCACAUCCCACAUCGCCCAAGAGAGUGAUCCUUAAAUGUAUAUUCUCAUCCCUACCUAGCACGAGGUCUUUUGGAAAUUCACUGGUUUCGGGUUCCAUUGGAACUCCGAAGUUAAGCGAGUAGUGCGCAAGAGCAAUCCCAUGAUGGGUGACCCACUGAGAAGUUCUCGUGUGAGUUCCCAAAAACAAAACCGUGAGGGCGCAGUUGGGGCCCACAACGGACAAUAUCGUGCUACGGUGGUGGAGCGGGCCCAGGAAGUGGUCCCGCCUCGUGCUAGGUAGGGAUGAGAAUAUGCAUUUAAGGAUCACUCCCCUGAGCAAUAUGGGAUGUGACAAUUUGGUAUCAGAGCCUAACCCUAGCCAUGGUGUGCCGACAAGGACGUCGGGCCCCUAAGGGGGGUGGAUUGUAACAUCCCACAUCGCCUAGGAGAGUGAUCCUUAAAUGUAUAUUCGCAUCCCUACCUAGCACAAGGCCUUUUGGAAGCUCACUGGCUUCGGGUUCCAUUGGAACUCCGAAGUUAAGCGAGUAGCGCGCGAGAGCAAUCCCAUGAUGGGUGACCCACUGGGAAGUUCUCGUGUGAGUUCC